UGGGAGGAGGGGGCUUGGAGCACAGCGACCAACUGUAUGACUGGCAGGAGUCUCCAGUGCGUUGGGAAGGAGGGGCCUUUGACCAAAGUUACCCAUCAGUCGAUAGCUGGUUGGGGUUUUUGGAGGAAUAUCCAGAACUUCUGAUUUAGCCACGUCUACUGUAUAUUUUA